GACGAACGCUGGCGGCGUGCCUAAUACAUGCAAGUUGAGCGAUGAAGAUUGGUGCUUGCACCAAUUUGAAGAGCAGCGAACGGGUGAGUAACGCGUGGGGAAUCUGCCUUUGAGCGGGGGACAACAUUUGGAAACGAAUGCUAAUACCGCAUAACAACUUUAAACAUAAGUUUUAAGUUUGAAAGAUGCAAUUGCAUCACUCAAAGAUGAUCCCGCGUUGUAUUAGCUAGUUGGUGAGGUAAAGGCUCACCAAGGCGAUGAUACAUAGCCGACCUGAGAGGGGGAGAGGCAACAUUGGGACUGAGACACGGCCCAAACUCCUACGGGAGGCAGCAGUAGGGAAUCUUCGGCAAUGGAAGAAAGUCUGACCGAGCAACGCCGCGUGAGUGAAGAAGGGUUUCGGAUCGUAAAACUCUGUUGGUAGAGAAGAACGUUGGUGAGAGUGGAAAGCUCAUCAAGUGACGGUAACUACCCAGAAAGGGACGGCUAACUACGUG
rnacentral:rRNA from 1 species